rnacentral:rRNA from 1 species
AGUGAACGCUGGCGGUAGGCCUAACACAUGCAAGUCGAACGGCAGCACAGUAAGAGCUUGCUCUUACGGGUGGCGAGUGGCGGACGGGUGAGGAAUACAUCGGAAUCUACUUUUUCGUGGGGAUAACGUAGGGAAACUUACGCUAAUACCGCAUACGACCUACGGGUGAAAGCCGGGGAUCUUCGGACCUUGCGCGAUUGAAUGAGCCGAUGUCGGAUUAGCUAGUUGGCGGGGUAAAGGCCCACCAAGGCGACGAUCCGUAGCUGGUCUGAGAGGAUGAUCAGCCACACUGGAACUGAGACACGGUCCAGACUCCUACGGGAGGCAGCAGUGGGGAAUAUUGGACAAUGGGCGCAAGCCUGAUCCAGCCAUACCGCGUGGGUGAAGAAGGCCUUCGGGUUGUAAAGCCCUUUUGUUGGGAAAGAAAAGCAGCAGGUUAAUACCCCGCUGUUCUGACGGUACCCAAAGAAUAAGCACCGGCUAACUUCGUG